rnacentral:lncRNA from 1 species
AUUCCAGAUAUGUGAUAUCAUAUGGUAUUUGUCUUUCUCUUUCUGACUUACUUCACUCAGGAUGAGAGUCUCUAGUUCCAUCCAUGUUGCUUAAAAUGGCAUUAUUUUGUUCCUUUUUUUUGGCUGACUAGUAUUCCAUUGUGUAUAUAUACCACAUCUUCCUAAUCCAAUCAUCUAGCUAUGGACAUUUAAAUUGUUUCCAUGUCUUGGCUAUUGUGAAUAGUUCUGCAGUGAUUAUGCAGGUGCAUGUGUCUUUUUUAAGGAAUAUUUUGUGUGGAUAUAUACCCAAGAGUGGGAUUGCUGGGUCAUAUGGUAAUUCUAUAUGUAGUUUUCUAAGGUAUCUCCAUUCUGGUUGUACCCAGCUUACAUUUCCACCAACAGUGCAGGAGGGUUCCUGAUACUUUGGUUAAUGUCUUUCUCCUUACUGGAAUAUAAACUGAAUAAAGAUAGGAGUGGUUUCUGCUUCCUCAGCAUAGUGGCCUGGCAUAGAGUUUUGCAUAACGUUUUUAAUGAAUAUAUAUAUAUAUAUAUAUAUUCUUUUUUAAUACUGUCUUCCAUCAUGUAGUAACCCAAGAGAUUGGACAUAGUUCCCUGUACUGUUUAUUUGUUUUUAAGAGACAUGACCUAUGACCUGGUCAGUCUAGUACCUUUACUUGUUCAAGUAUCUCUUUUGGUAGAAACAAAGCAAAUAAUAUUGAUUGGUAUAUACCAGGAAAAAUGUGUUUCAAAGACGAAACAUGAAAUUUAGUAGAAUGAUUCUUUAAAUUCUAAACAGAGAAAUUGAAACAAAAUUCUUUUUAUAUAUGCAUGUAGGUACAAGUUCACACACUCAUGUAUUUAUUUGUACGUGUACACAUAGAAUAAUUUUGAAAAUAUUAUUAAGUACCUACUAUGGGCAGGUAAUCCACUGAAUGUUAGAGAAGAUACAACUAAGUUUUUGAAUAGUUCCUGCAGUAGGUAUUUUCAUAAAGUUUCUCAUAUUUAAUUCCUUUGACAUUCUAAUUUUACAAAAUGUCUUAGAGAGAUUCAAUAAUGUUCCCAAGGUGAUGAAUCUUUUAAGUGGCCCGGUUGGGGAUUCUUCCUUUUGUCAGUCUUAAGAAUGCACCUUGCAAUCUUCCAAUUAUGAGGAACCUAAUUAACCAGGGUACUCACUGGACCAGGGUUUCCAGCUGCUCUGCUCUGAAACCCAUUGCCAUGUUUGUAACCAUGCUCUCCAAGGACUGCUCCUAGCCAGUGACUGAGCCCAGCAGAGAUUUUAAUGUAGACCUCUUCCUGGGACACAUGGGUCUCUUCAUUGACUGAUUUGGCUUGAGGACUCCCCAGUGGUUUUAUUAAGCCUUCUUUAGACUGUGCAAUCUAAGAAGCUUCUACCCACACUUCCCUCCCUGCCUCUACAUCAGAUGUGAUGUCUGACAACUCUUCUAGCCUUUCUUCCCCGAUCAUAAUUCUUACAUGUUUAACCAUAUCUUAACAUCUGCUUCUUGAAGGAUCUAGAUUAAUACAUCCUUCCAUUAAGAAGCCCUUAAAAAAGGAAAGAACGAACAUAUGCAGAAACUAUUGGAAGAGGGAAGUGAGGGAAGCCAGAAACUAUAUUUUCUAGGGGUAGAACUUCAGGACAGGGUUAGAAUUUUGAAUUUUCCUUUGAGAAUUGGCACCUGCCUAGCUGAGUGGGAAAGAUAACAGGAAACAGUAUGGGGAAAAGAAGAAAAUUUGCAAAACUUCUAUUUGGAACAUGGGGAAUCAGACACUUUGACUAGAGCAUAAGUUUGGUGGGGGAGGGGAGAUAAAUUGAAAAAGAGGAAAAGUGAACUCUGUUAUAUCAACUCAGGAGAUGACAUAUAGUAGAGAUUAAGAACCUGAGUUACAGAAUCAGAAAUAUCUUAAUUUGAGUUCUGGUGUUUGUAACAAUAGCUGUAUGAAAUUAGAAAAGUUUUAACUUCUGUGAGUCUUGUUUUCUCAUACAUAAAAUGCAUUUAGUAACAUAUACAUCAUGGAUUAAAUGAGAUAAUAUAUGCAAGAGCAAAAACAGAAGAAAUUGCUUCCUCAAAUAAAGACAAAUCAUGAAGUUUAGGAUUUAGGAGUUUAAGUGGGUAUUUAUUUUUCAGGUGGAUAUACAUUUUAAGGGUAUAAAACAGUAAGAUUUUAAAAAAUCAUUUUCAUGUGCUACAAAACUGAUUUGACUGAUUGUGUUUCAGUGGAAAAUAUAGUGUCAGAAUUUGAUUGCACAGUGCUAGAGUAGAGAACACUGCAUACAGUUGUAUGCAAAAUUUAUUGAUUUGGAUAUUUUUGUGAAAUACUUGAAUGGAAUUUAUCAUAUAAAAUGGUAUGAUAGUCAUGUAAUCGAAGGAAACUAAUUUUCCUAAACUCUUGUACUUAUGAUUAUUUCAGAAUCCCCAGUAAAUUCCAGUGUUGGGUGACUUACUCCUUCUGACAUUUAUCAUUCUGUAGUUUUUCAGUAUGAAGAUUCCAAAAUAGUAUAAAGGCUUCCAAGGCAAGCUAUUCACUUAACCUUGCGGGUUUGUCCUUUUUAUCUCUAAAUUGUAAUGGAAAUUUUUUGUUCUUUUGUUUUUUUUGUAUUGCUAUUGCUUAUUUUAUAUGUAUAGUUAUUCAUUAAAGUGAUUCAUGAUUGUGUAUCUUGCAUUCAUAGAGAACAGAAUUCCCACUUGAAUUGAGUAUCAUGACUACAGAUGCUAAUCAAUAAGACAGAUAAUAACAGGGAAAAUUGUCAGAAAGAGAGCUAGUGGGGAUUUUUUUCCCUUAUUAUAGAAUUUUGAUGCCUUGUGCUUGAUGUAAUGGUUCAUUAAUACUCAGGGAUUAUGGAUAUGGCAUUGUUUUAUCUAUGUGAAACACCCCAUACCAUUAAAUUAAUAUUGGGAACAUUUUGUUCUUAGUUUUUCAGAGUAUUUCUGUCUAUGUAUCAGAGCAGAACACCUUGUUUACUUGUUCUUUCAUCAGGCCACUGUGGACUGAAAGUGUUCCUGCAGCCACUAUUUUGCUAACAUCUUCCUAGAAGUAGUGUUGAUAUAUAUUUUAAAAUAAAGAUGUGUACUUAUUUAUAUUUUUAUAAAAUCAUAUUUUAAGUUUAUAUAUUUUCCUUUAGAAGUUCAAGCUUCUCCCAGAACAAUUUCUAAAGUUUUAACAAUUUUAGUUUUGAAAUAAAAUGUUUCAUGUGUGAGAAGGGCCAGGCAAGGGUGUCAGUGUAGGGUUCUUUAACUAGUGAUCAGCUAGCUCCUUAGUCAUUGCCUAAUUUUUUUUCUUGCUCUCCAAAUGCAAAUACAAUAUAAUGAAACCAUUAAGCAUAGAUUAUUGAUGGUAAUAUAGAAAAAAUAUGAUCAUGAUUCUCCCUAGAAAGACACAGAUUUUGAAACAAAACUCCUUAAGAGCAAAUGUGCUCUUACGGCUUUCCUGUUCCCCAACCCUCAGGAGACCUUACAUGUUCUGCAAGCAUCUUUAGAUAAUUGAAGCAACAGGAAGAAAACACCCAUCACCUUUUUGUUUAUACGUUUGUGAAUUGCAUGCCUGGGAAUGGGAACUCUUACUCUUCUUGUUUAGCCUAAAUUUGGAAAAAAAAAUUGUUCUUUGUAAUUUUUUCUUCUUACUUUGGUAGAUUUGUGGUAUAUGCUAUGUAGUUAUCAAUUUAAUUAAGGCUAUAGAUAAAAUUAUUAAAUUAGAAAGAUAAUAUUUCAGAUUUUAUGUCUCUUUUAUAAUAUUUUAUCUGAUUAUAUAAUUCUAUGUUUCUUUUAGGAUGUAGAAGUAAGAAGUGGUUACAUAAUAUAUUUUGGAAUACUUAAGAGGAGUAAAAAGAAUUCAUGACAAAACUUCAAAUUAUUACAUUGGAAAAAUACUAUAUUUCCUUCAUUUAAACAGAUAUAAAAAUGGUUUAUCCUCAGUCAUUAUUGUGUCUUAUAAAUGGCUACACUAAAAGAUUAUUUCAAAGCCAAAAUUCCAAAUAGCUUUCUAGAUAAUCAUAUGGAAGGUUUGUCUUCAUAAUGCCUCUGUUUGAGCCUGAGAAACACAUAGACAUGUCUGAUAUAUUAAAUAGCAAGGUGGGAGUUCCCUAGUGGCUCAACAGUUUAAGGAUCCAGUGUUGACACUGCUCUGGCUCUGUUUACUGCUGUGACGUGGGUUUGAUCCCUGACCCCAGAACUUCCACAUGCCAUGAGUGUGGCUAAAUCAAUCAAUCAAUCAAUCAAUCAAUAGCAAAAUGAAAGUCCUAGUCUUCUAUCUCUAUUGUAUAAUACAAUUUAUUAGAGGAAUCCAGAUAGCAGAGGCUUGGACUUCUCGUGUGGCUCACAACAGAUAGCAGAGGUUUGCCAGACGAUUGUUUGGGAAUUUCUCUAGUGAACACUUGUGUAUCUUUCUUCUACUAAGGGAAGUGAAUUUGUUUUUCCCUGAAAUGAGAGGAAAAUGCAAUGAUUUAAGUUUUCUAUAUAUUUAUGACUUUUUUGGGCCACACCCACAGUAUGUGGAAGUUCCUGGGCCAGGGAUCAAACCCAAGCUACAGAAGUGACCUGAGACACAGCAGUGACAGUGCUGAAUCCUUAAGUACCAGAGAACUCCCUAUUUUUGACACAUAACACCAAUUAAAAGCUUGGUAGUUGUUGGCAAACUCCCUAUGAACUUAUGUCAGACAAGCUUAGUUUUGAAUAAACUAUUUGUAUGAAGCAGAACAAAAGUUUAAAUCAGAGAAUGAAAAUUAUCUAAUGAUGCUUUCUUGAUGUUUUUCAAGAAUUUCUUCAGUAAAGGAGGGUUAGCUUUAAUGUAUACUUCUCUUUUUGGCUCUGUGUUUUCUACUAAUGAGUUUUAUAAAAGUACUUUGGAUUCCUAAACAAACAAACAAACAAAACCAAAUAAAAUCAGCAAAGGAAAGCAAAAUAAACAAACAAAACCCUGUUUAUAAAGUAUGUAUCAAACAGUUUUGUUGUUGUUUUUUUUUUUCUUUUUUAGGGCCACACCCAUGGCAUAUGGAAUUUCCCAGACUAGGGGAUCAAAUUGGAGCUAUAGCUGCUGCCCUACACCAUAGCUACAGCAAUGCAAGAUCCAAGCUGUGACUUCAACCUAUAUACCACAGCUCAUGGCAAUACCAGAUUUCCAACCCACUGAUCGAGGCCAGGGAUCAAAUAUGCAUCCUCAUGGAUGCUAGUUGUGUUCGUUACCACUGUGCUACCACAGGAACUCCUUAAACAGUUUUAUUAACAUGUGAGAAAUCAGCCAGCAGCUUCUGUCUUCAGUUUAAGACAUGUCAAAUGUGUGAUGUGGUUUUCCUUGCACUUUUUUACAUAUUAGAUUUUUAGUUCAGGACAGACAUGUAAAGGAUAUUAGUGAGGGUGUCCCAAACGGAACCACUUAUUACCUAGUUGUUGAAUUUAUGUAGCGGAACCAACAGGCAAAGAAACCUACAAAUAAAAGCAUAAACAAGUGUGCAGCAAAGGAAAAAAAAUGAACUACACAGUUGCAGUCAUGGUUUCUGACAUAUUUGCUACCUCUGGGGUAGGAUUUUGGCAUCAAUGUGUGAAGUAACAAUAGGAACAACCAAUGAACAGAGGAGAAAUGCUGAAAUUAGAUUGAGCAGAAAAGCAUGGCUGAAGCUUAGAAUGUUCACCAAUAUUGUAAAAACUAAAAUUUCUUCAAUUUUCCAUUGAAAACUAUAAAUUGUCUCACAGCUCUUGGGGUGACACUGAAUUUGACUAAAUAUUUAAUGAAUGGGAAAAGUUUGGGCUCAAGUGAAUAUAUUUUCAACAUGGUUUUCCUUUGUUUGUCUCAUAGGACAAAGGAAAUUGAAUUAUAUUCGAUUGUGUAGGGUAAUGUAUGCUAUUGUAAAUUCCCAGGUUUUGCAGUAAAUUUAACAUCACAAUAAAAUAUUGCCCAUUAAUAGCAGUAGCAGAACAUCCGUUGGUAGAUUUUAUUGCAUUUUUGCAAAUCUGAAAUGGAGAACAAGAUAGUAAUGACUAGCAUCAGAAGUAGUUUGUUGCUAAUUUCCUAAUUUACAUAAUGUAUCUCUUACAAACUGGAUUGUCAGUUUAUAGGAGAGACACCAAAUGUUCAUAUAAUGAAGUUUAAAAAAAAAAAAUUCUCAGCUGAAACACGGCCCUGUUGCCUGGCCAAAAUGGGCGGCACUUUGUUUGCUUGGUAUUUUGCCGUGAUAAAUCUUAGUCAAGUUUUUAAAUACCUUUAAUUGGAAAAGGUAUUUAACCUUUUAUAUUAACUAGCCAAUAAUGUGUUAAAAGUGAAUAUAAUGUUAGAAAAUAUCAGUAUAGUAGUCUUGAUUUUUUAAAUCAAUACUCCAUGAUUACCAGAAAUGUAAAUUUAAGGAACAAACUAACAAAGCAUCAUUUCUUUGAGGUCUUCAUGUGGUAUUUGGCUCCUGCCACUUCUGAAACUCCUAAAAUUUCAUGGAUUAUACUUAGCAAUUAAACUUUGGCAAAAAGAUUCAUUUCAAUACUAAGAGAAAUUUGACUUUAUUCAAGGUGAUGUACUUUAGGAGUUCCACUGUGGUGCAAUGGAAUCAGCAGCAUCUCUACAGCACUGGGAUGGUAGGUUCGACCCCUAGUCCAGCAUAGUGGGUUAAAGGAUCUGGCAUUGCCAUAGCUGCAACAUAGGUUGCAACAGCAGCUCAGAUCUGAUCCUGGGCCUGGGAACUCCAUGUGCCUCAGGGUGGCUAAAAAGGAAAAAACAAAGAACAAAAAAAAAAA